AGCUGGCAUCAAAGUUGACUCGAAGCAUUCCGAAGAUAUAGAAAAGAAACAGAGCAGUAAACCCUACACCGAGAAUCCAAAUAUUAUUAAAGAAAACCACCCUCUGAUGAUAAUGGUCACAUCCAAACGGAUAGAGUUGUUAGACCACCCAUUAGUGUCAGCUCUUCUUAAGAGGAAAUGGACAAGCAUCGGUCUUGUUUUAAACAUCCUAACUGUCGUGCUCUAUGCACUGUUUCUUGGAUUGCUUACUGGCUUCACACUUGAUUUACCAGCUCCAUAUCAGUU